ensembl:lncRNA
CUCUUUUACAAUCUCUUCCAUGUUGGUAAGCACCAGGUCCAGCAACGCUUCACCUCUUGUUGGUCUGUCCAUUACCUAAACCAGAAAGAUAUUGUCAGUGGACUCCAAGAGUCUCCUGGGUCACUUGCAGAUCACAAUGUUGUUUUCUAGCAGAUAUCUGAGUGGUUGAAAUCUCCCAUCCAGAUGAGAACCCGUGAGCACAAUGCCUCUUGCAGCUGAAGCAAGAAGGCCUUGUCAACAGCUCCCCUUGAUCAGGCAGCUUGGAGUAGACCCUGACCACCAGAUGCCCUUUACUGGCCCUGUCCCUAAUCUUAACCCACAAGCUCUUAACCUGUUCCUGACUGUUUCUCAGGGGCAGCUCUCAGCAGAUUAUCCACUUCUUAACAAGAAGAGGGCCACUCCCCCACCUCUCCAAUUUGCCUAUCCCUUCUAAAAAGUUUACAGCCCUCAAUCAUGGUAUUCCUCUUGUGAGUCAUCCCACCGUGUUUCCAUGAUAGCAAUAAGAUUGUAGUUUUCCAAUUGCACCACAGUUUCCAAUUCCUCCUGCUUACUUCCCAUGAUGUGUGCAUUGGUACAGAGGCAUUUCAGCUGAAAGUGCCAAAGGUCACAUCUCUGUUUGCCUUGGACCCUUUAUAGAUACAGAUAUAAAACCAGAUAAAUAUGACUGUUUGGAGCUAAAUGCGUGUGCUGCAAGAGUGUGUUAUUAAUGAGAAAAAAGCCUGAAGGCACAGUGACUCCUAGCUCAUGGCCAGCAGACCAUUGCUGUUGUUCUGGGGAAGCAAAUGGGAAAAGCAGAGCCAGCCAAGGAGCAGACAGCCUACACAGGGAUGGAUUUUGCUCCUGGCCCUUUCUCAGGCAAGGCGAGAGCUUUUCCUGAGUGCAACCCACAAGACUGGAUCCACAGCUCCUCCGCCUGCAGCACUUCAAGACUUCCAGGUUGGAGACAAUGCGUCUGGAAAUUUGGGGUGAGCUGCACCUCCUGUGUGUUUUACUUGGACAGUAGGGUGUAAGUACCACGCUGCUGUGCUCUUAUUUAGCUCUGUUAUUACAGCGCUGUUUGUGAAGCAGGAAGAGUAAUCCUCAUGUAAAAAUAAUAGUAUUGCAGAGCUAGACAGCAGAUGGUGUUAUUAAAUACCUGGGCAAAGUCUAAGGUCGUAACGCUCUAACAAUUAAAAAGAUCUAUUGUGUAUCACUUAAUAGGUAACCUCCUAGUGUAGGAUGUUUGCAAGGCUGAGCAGAGAGGCGAGUGGUAUCUUGUCCGAGCCCAGACAGCUCUUCCAGUUAAGCAAAUACUUGGCAACAAUUUUCUUGUCUAAAUUUGGUGCUACCACCACAUCAGAUAGAUACAAUACGAUCCCAUAUCAUCUCCUAAAUGAUCCCUUCUCUAAUCAGCUCCAUUAGGUUUUAAAUAGACUGCAGCUGCCUGAGAACUGGUGAUAGUUGCCCGACAUCCAGGUUCACUUAUAAGAGCAUGGAGAGGCAACUCACUGGGUGAUGUGAAUGGACAUAAGCCUGCUGCCAGGCACGUCUCCUGCUGGCUGCAGGGAGAUCCUGGUGUGUGAGGUGUGCCCGCCAGCGGCCGUGGCUUCCCAUGAGCACCUGCAGCUAUGGGCCUCUCUCCCAGGUGAAACCUCCUUGUCUCAGUUGGUGAAGUUGAAGCUGAACCUCAGUAAUAUGUGGCAAGGCUCUUCCUGCUGCAUAACAUUUUAAGCCAGAACUCCAAGGAUUAAUUUUAUAUUCUAGAGACUGCACUUUCUGCAUUUUUCCCUUGGUGUUUGCUUGGCGUCUUGUGAGCUGUACCUCCCAGUUGAACCUCUCAGCUGAAUACUGGCAUCCAGGAAUGCAACUCACCUUCUCUUCUGCUAUUAGCUCAUUUUACAUGCAUAAGCAAGACUUUCUGCAUCGUAUUCAGAGAUGUGAACCCGAAAUCAUCUCUUCUGGGACUACAAGGAGACUAAGGAGGCUAACAGUCACUCUUUGGGGUAGGUUUUCGGCUUUAGUUUAAUGACCGUAAUAGUGGUGAAUGCGUUGGCAGCAGAAAUAGAAUGAUAUGGAGAACAAUAGGGAACCUGUGACUUGGUACAUUUGUCUCACAGAGGGCAGACAGGAGACAGGGAGCUAAAGGAGAGUCCUGUGGCUGCUAAUAGCUUCACACAGUACUUUUCCUCCGUGGUAAUCACUCUCCUGCUAGGAUCCACGAACUUGAGAACAAAGUACAUUUUAUUAUUUACAAGGGUUAGAUGACAAAUACAAACAGAUGGUGCAAAGAUGACUCCUAAUGCAUAGUGAUCAAGGAGUUUAAUAUUCAUGGGUAAAGGCCUGGAAGAUUAAGUAAACAGAUUCAGAUAUGCAGGGGAAAGUAUCUCAUAACAGUGCAUAAAGUCAACGCGGCCUUUUGUGCCCUGUUACCAUUUGGAUCAACACAAUUAACAUAAAGGGAAAGAUUGGCUGAACUUUCCAGUCUCCCCAAAGUGCUCAAAUCAGGGAUUUCUGCGAGGAAACCCUAGCAAGGAGUUUUGGCAAGAUGGAGAAAAACCCUUCUCUUUUGCUAUUGAACUUUCUGUUCCUGCUCCAAAGCCCCUUCUGCAAAAUAGGCUGCAACAGCUGAGCCUGCUCCAGCCUGCUGCUGUGGCUGCCCUUAUGUAAAGCAUUCUCACCUGGGUGACACAGGGCUUUUUGCUGCGACCGGUCAGAUGAGUGAGCAAGGGUUACUCCCAUGAGCAAGGGUUGUGGCAUUAGGAGCCUAACCACGCUGCUCUGCCGUUAAUGACGCUUCUCAUGGCAAAAGCUGGGAUCUCGUUGGUUUUGCUUUCGCAUGUAGUCAUCUUGCAGAGAGGAUUUCAACACUGAUGAAUAUUGCCAGUCAGGUCCUUGGUAUGAAUCAUCCUGUCCUUCCAGAUGACUUUUUCUUUCUGCUGUUUACAUCAGCUGCAGAGAAUUUUGAUACUUUCUUGUGUAUGUGAGUAAAGGAAUGUUUCAUUUGAGAAGAUAUUUCCAAACUCGAUGAAGUCAUCCCUCUAUAUCAUUCCUUUUGUUGUUGCUGUUCUUGUUUUGAGCGUGGGCAGUUAGCGAGUUGUUUCUAAGGAGUUACUGACUGAGCGCUGAACAAAGGGCAAAAAAGAAAGGCAGAGAGAAGGGUUCAUGGACGAAUACCACUGGACUGUGCCAGGAAGUUUGCUCUGCAGCAUAGAUCAGCCUGCUGUUUUCCUUGUCUAGAUGAUGAGGUUGUUGGAUGAACAGGGGAUUUGGGAGUUGAGUUUUCAGCACUGGGAAGGUGUGCAUGCGAGCAGGCCAGCAGCCCCUGCCUGCUUUUACACAGGACCCUCAAGAGUGCAAUAGUGUCAGGACGCCAUGGCUUAUGGACAAAUGGGAGAAGCUACAGGUUGAGUUGGGGCUGGGGAAGGGUUAAAACAUGCAAACGGUGGUGGAGAGCUGCCCAGCAGCCCGCCAGCUGCUAUGUGAGGAGGUGAGCUCUCCUGCUGGCACUCUGCCACUGUAGCUCCAAGAAAAAAAAUCUAUACCUCGAUCUCAAGAACAGUCACUUUUUAUUUUUUAUUUUUUUUUCAUGAUCAUCACCAUUUGGCUGCUUUAUUUUCAUCCAUCUUUUGUAGCUGUAGCCACCACAACUCCAUUCCUAUGGCCGUCUCCCAAAUGACUGAAGACCUCUGGCUUCUCUGGAUGCUCUUUCUCAGGUUCUGUUGUCCUGCGGUGUUUCUUCCAAAGUACCUGACAAACCCUGGAAAUGGCACUGGGUGCUUGAGUCCAGGUGAACAAUACAGAGUGAGGAAAGGAAUGCUCAUUGGCAUGACUUCCAGCCUCAGACUUGUAGUGAAGCCACAGUGCGGUGUUGGGAGCUGAGCACAUCCACCUUUGGUAUCUGCCCAGAAAAUGGUCUGGCUCCAUGGAUGUAUUCACUGGGAAUAGCUGUAUAAGCUGGAAUACAGUCAAAGAUACAUGGCAGAGAAACCUGCCCUGUGAAUAAAGCCUUUGUUAAGAGGCAUUCCAUCUGUACAUGAUUUCAUCAGCUCCAUGAAAUGUGCAGGACAUUUAUAUGGUGAAUUAGGCACAGCUCCUGUUUUGAGAGAGAAAAUGCUUCUGUGUGCUUUUCCACCGAAGUCUGUUGCUACACGAAGAGGGGAGGAAACCUUCUGCAAUGCUGUUACUGUUCUCAGCCACAGGACAGGGCAAGCAUUGGGACCGUGCUAACAUGGCUAUAAAAAUAACGUGCAUGUAAAAAGCAUCAAAUGCACAAAAAAAUUGGCAUCGCCCUCUUCUUUGCCUUCUCUCCCUUAAAUGUGGAGAUACUUAAAACAGUGUAAAUAACAUUCAAGACAGCUAAAGAGCAGUCCACAGUGCUGAAACACUCCUGCCGUCCAAAGCAGCUCCAUGCCAGCUAUUUCAUUUACCAUAUGUUUGGUGUGGUUUUGGCAGAGUCAACAUGAGGAUUUUUGGGCAGGCCUGCAAAACAGUUUUUCCCUUCCUCCACCCAAACGUGACCCAGUCCUGUCUGCCAUGAUCACGCCAUUGCACAGGGUCAGCCUGGCUGUUUUGGGCAGAAUUAGUCAGAGGGGCAUUUGGAAAGAUGCCCAAGGAGGGCUGAUUCAUUUUCCAUAUAAGUGGUUGCAUUAUGGAGCAGGAAGGAGAAGGAAGACGCAAUGUUUGGGAUGGAGAUGCUGGGUAAUGCUGAAGGACCACACAGGGAUUAUAGGAUUCCUUCUCCAGGUCCAAGGCAGGUGUGGUUGGGAUGCACUGGCUGUGGGGGCAAGCUGCCAGCCCCAUGGCACUGUUUUCAGCCAUCCUGCAGGAACUGCCAGAGGCUGUGAACCAGUGACUGGAAACGUGGAGCUUUGCUCCUGGGGUCGUCUGGUUUCAGAUGUGGAGAACACGGGCUCCAGGCAGCCCAGUCCAGCAGAGAACUGCCUGAGCUGUGAGCAGACUCUCCGGGGUGGGGCUUAAUUUUCCUUAAAAAUGAGUGGGACGCAGUGCCCAGACAUACAGUCCAGUUGGUGCCAUCCAGCUAGGGCCUGGGACUUGUCUAGCCGAACAAGGGAAGAAGAAAAGGGAAUUUAAACACACCGCUCUGCCCUUUUCUAAGAAAGUGCUGGAAGGUGUGAAGGUACAGCUGUGUCAUUCCUUCCUGCUGUGUGCUCCUAGCAUGCAUUCCCAGCAGUAGUUCACAGAAGCGAGCCGUGUUCCCCCAGCAGAGGAGCUUCGCCACAGGGUGCUGGGGUAUCUGCUCAGUAGACUUGCUGACCUCAGGGAGCAGCUUUGCCAGGCGAGCCCUCCAAGCAAAGAGCCAAAACCCCUGGUUAGCACUGAGCCUGCGAUCUCUCCCUCACUUUCCGGUGGAUUAAUUGCUAGAAAGGUUGUGCAGCUGCAUGGCAGCCCAGCACCCCAUCUGGUUGGCCGUACCUCUGCAUUUCUGUUCUCUGAAACAGUGUUUCUGACCUGAUUCACCCUGCAACCGGAGGGUGGAAUUCAGCUUCAUGUCCAUGGCAAGGGAAUGUAAAUAUUCAUGCCUAUAGUCUUUGCAAGUGCACUACCCAAGUGUGCACGUGAGCAAGCAAGAAAGCAGUUUCCAGCGAGGAGGCAGGAGCAGGGCUCUCCAGCCUACCUCCAACUGCUUCCGCUCUCCCCAAAGCUGUUCAGGGGAGCAGGAGCUCCCGAGGAUGGUCUGGCCUCAGUCUGAGUGGGGCAAAUCGGGGUGAGUCAGCCAGAAGAGCCAAGGCUCGCUGGGCACGAGCCCCUCUUCCCAGAGUUGGCCUUUAAUCCAAGUUGGCUGCAUGCUGCCUGCUCUCAGCAGCCCUUUUGUGCCUCCACGGGUGUUUGCUGGUGCAGGGCUGAGUGACUCAGCCUGCGCCCCUACCCUGAGCGCUGGAGAGCUGGGAGGGGCUGCAGAGUGCCUGGCUGCAGGUCUCGUCCUUCCCUUUUCUCAUUUCAGCAAAACCGUUGCAGAUUUCACGGAGCUUUCCAUCACAGGCAAACAAAGAGGAAAUUGAUUCAGAGCGAGAGCAUUAACAUCACCAAAUAGUAAAGGCAUUGCCUAAUGCUAUCAAGCAAGCUUCCUCUACUGCAGAAGCAGAGGUGGGCAGAGUGAAGCUAAAGAAGUAAGGGGACAGUGGCUGGGUGAGGGCAGGGAUCCUUGGCGAAGAAAACCCAGAGGAUAAAAGGCAAAAAGAACAAAGGGAGAGGUGUUGGGGAAAUAUGACUGAGCAGAUGCAGUACUUAUCUGCUUAUGCAUCACAUAAAAUUCCUAUGUGUAAACAGAAAGCAAUGAGUAACAUCAAGUGAAGGGCCAACCUGUGGGAAGGAGUUGUGCUGGUGUAAUAAAAGGGCCGGUGUUAAACCAUUUCAGUUAGAGCCCUGCACACGUGGGCUGCUGAUGGAAGAAAAAGGCCUGGCUUUAUGGCUUCCAAGGAUAGCAAACACUGGGGCUUCCUGGUGCAAAGUGCUGAUCCGUAUGAUAGUAAACUUCCAUUUGUUCAAACCUCGGUGACGAGUCAGCACUGUACUGGCUGCCUUUAUGUAGGAUAAGGCAAGGUCUGUCUCCCAACAGGUGGUUUAAUGCCAGCAAAACGACAACAACAACAAAACAUCUAGAGCCAGAAUAAGCACACGGUACAUCAUUCUGGCUCUUCCAGAUGUAUGAAAUGUACAAAAAUGUAACUGGGAAUUCACAAAUAAUCCCGAUUAGUCUUAUCCUGGGUACUGCCACUGUCUAAUUCUCACUUACAUCAAGACUAUUUUAGUCUAAUCGGCUAUUAAGAUAUAUGUCAAUGCAAAAGUUUCUAGCUCUUCAGCACCAGUGUAACUCAUUUUCCAGAGCAAUGCAAAUACCAAGAGGAAUGGUUCCCACCAGCGCUGGAGCGCUGACACACUCACUUGACAAGCACCUGCCCUGGCCUCAGGUACCUUCCAGCCUCCCACGGGUUUGUUACUGCAAGGGGUGUGCUCACCUAUCCGCUCACCUACCGUCAUCUGGGGUUUAAACUACAGCACCUGACCCAGUAUUUCAGAUGAUAGGGCAGUGACUCACUCAGAGACAUCUUAGCGUGAUGGAAGGAGCUCCUGCCCCAGCACCUGCCCUGCCACACUGCUGGAUCACACUGGUGCUACAGGGCAGCUGGACCCGUGUGGGGCACCUCUGCCACUAGGUCUUAGCCAGUGCCUCUGCACGUAUCACUUCAUCCCCCUAGGAAUUACCCACACUGUGACCAGCAGACCCAAGUAUGCUCUAAACUGUGCUUCUGGGGCAAAAGGAGGAUGGAUAUCCACUUUUUAUACCACUGGCUUGGUGUAAAGGAGCGUGUAGAUGGUGAGACGUGAGCCCCACCUCCUGCAGCUUCUUGAGGUUUUGCUUGCUCUUUGACAGGCACUUCAGACUGGCCUUUGAUCACCAGAGAUCAAGAGUAUUUCCACCCAUACAAGGUAAGUCUGUUGGUUGCACGGACAGCUCAGAGGAAAUGGAGCUCCUGUGAAGACCUGAUUUUGGGCGCAUCAGUUCUUGUACAAGGAUUUCAAGUGUUAGAGGAGUGUCUGGAUUUUAAAUGUCUCGUGUGCAGCACACUGCUCCAAAAAACUCUCUACGUUAGGCUAGUCCUCAGGCUUGAAUAUUCAUGAAGGUAUUUUCCUACAUGAGCAACAUGUCCUAUCUCAUGUCUUAUGCCUGCCUCGAAUUUAAAGUGUGUGAGUGCAGCUAAGCCUCAUGUCAGGUCACCUGCAACUACAGAUAACCGCAGAUAAGUGCUAUGGGUAAUGCUGCUCUGCUGGGAUGAGCUCAGCUCAGAAGUGGUUUCCAGCACUUCUUUCCCUUAAGCAAUGAGCUGAUCUGGGCUGAACGCUAUUGCCAUCCUAAGAUACAGGGAUGAAGGCUGGCCUGCCAGAUGUGCUGGUACCUUUGCAAUGCCCCUAGAGGUAUGGUUGUCCUGGAGCUGCCAUGGCAGUGGGGCUGAGCUUGUGUUGGACACUGCCGAAACUGUGACUGCUGUAACCAGUCUAUGUCUCUGAGGAUGUGAGGGACAGUGAGCAUUAGCCUGUGUCUGUGAGUAGAUCUGCCUCUUAUUCCUGAAACACUGGUGCAGUGCUCUCCCUCUCAAAGCCCCUCUUACAAACCUCUCCAUCACAUUUCUACUCUUUGCAGGCAUUGUCAUCAUUAGCAAGCCUUUGCUGUCCGGGGCUGUGUCUGCACUGAGGACUGUCUUUCAGGGAUGUAUAAGGAAACCUGAGGCUUUCUGAAAGCAUUCUUGCCCUUUCCCAUCCCUGUGAAGUCGGUUAUCAGUUCAGCAAAUUCUUACAUACAGAAAAUGCAUUUGCCUACAGCAGAGGAGGUAAGAAAACACUAAUGGUGAGCAAACUGACCUGAGGGGGAACAUUUCCAGUUCUUCUGUGGUGUUUUCCCUGCUCAUUAAAGCCCCUCCUCGGGCCUAGGGCUGUGUUUGAUGGCAGAUGAUAACAACUCCAGAAGUGUGUCCCAUUGCCCAAAGGCUGCUGCUGUGGGCUCCUCUCUGCACAGCACAGGCAAUAUCCCAGCUUCCAAUAAGGAAGAGGCUACCCUUGUGUUUCAACAUGAUCCAUCUCUGGUGGAGAAACCAGGCUUCCUUCUGCUGAGCUCCCCCUCUGUGGCCUUUUCCGUAGUUUUGCACGAGCUCAAAGGCAUUGCAACAAAAGCAGUGGGGAGAAGUCGCAGUGUGGAUUUGUCAUAUACCAAAACCCACAUUUCUUCUGUAUCUCUCCAGCUUCUCAGGAAACUGGCUGGAAAGAGACCAAGUUGAACAUAAUCUUAUCUUUCAGCCUAGUUAUUUUAAGCCCAAACGGGUUCCUUGAUCCCUUCCAACUGAAAACACCCCUUGGGAUAGUAGCAGCACAUUGAGCAGCCGGCGUGGGCACAGGAGAUCAGUGCUUUUCUGGCUAGAGCCACCUUUGGUGAUGCCAUCUCCCCACACAGAGGACAGAGCGGUUGCUGCUGUGGCGCUGCCUGCAUCGGUUGGACUUUGGUUGCCAGGGCAUCGUAAAAUGACUCAACGGGGAUCAGAAAGUGGUAGGAUCAAACAAAAGUCACUCUGAAGCUGCUGUCGGUUGGCAAAAGAAUAAUUUAAAAUUAAACCAGUUCUGAAACUAUCUACCGCAAGCGGUUACAAGCCUCAGUGUUGUAAAACUGGGCUGUUUCCUCUUUUCCUCGCAACGAUGAUGCCCUUGAUUCCUCCUUAGGCUUCUUUGGCAAUUCUUGCACGGUAAUAAAAAGGCAUGACACAGCAUAUGUUUUGUGGCUCACCUUGCCAAACAAAAUUACAACGUUAGUGUAGCUUCUUCGCCUUUGCAUAAUUAACUCUACAAAGGAGAGAGGGUAAGCAUCUGUGCCAAGACAGAAGCAAAAACAAGAAGUACGGAAGUCUGUUUUAAAGUCAUCUCUGUUCAAAGCAAUUCUUUUAAAAAUGACUUAUCUUGAAACUGUUGCAGACAAUUAGGGAAAGUCAUACAGUUUCUAAAUGUCUGUUAUGUUUUACGUCUGCAGCUACAUUGCUAAGAUGCAAAAAAAAAAGAAGUCGAUGCCUCUUUGAGAGCUCAUGAAAGCUGUGCUGGAGUGCAUCUUCUGCGCAACACGUGCUGGGGCCAGGAGGAUGCAGGCUGCCCAGGAGUGCUCAGUGCCCACUCUUCAGGCUCAGCUGGCAUCAUUCUCAUGUUUAAUAGCUUUCAGGACAGUCUCUGUGUUGCGCUGAACCACACAGUUGCCACAAGGGGAAUUUAGUGCAGGUGGAGGGGUAAGUGGGGUGAGAGGUGGGCCUGGUCCUGCUGCCUAUCCCACUGCCUUACUGUCAUCCUUGUUACCUAAACUAGUGUUAAUAGCUGAAUUAGGAUUCAAGCAGCCUGAGUAGUUCUAAUAUAGAGCAUUAAAGAGCAAAUCCUUUUUCCACUGAUGCCAAAGACAAGACUCCCAGAAAAAGGUCUGGCCCCUAGUUUCUGGCAAGUCCCCAGGCAGUCCAACUAAGUCAAGAAAAAAAGAAUAAGGGGAAAAAAAGAGAAGAGAAGAAGAGAAGAGAAGAGAAGAGAAGAGAAGAGAAGAGAAGAGAAGAGAAGAGAAGAGAAGAGAAGAGAAGAGAAGAGAAGAGAAGAGAAGAGAAGAGAAGAGAAAAAGGAAGAAAAGGGAGGCGAAAUUAAAAGAAAAAGGGGAAAAUAGAAAAGAAAGAGAUGAGGAACACUUUACAACUAACUAUGGCAGCUGGCAGCAGGUCAUCCAGAUGGAGCAGGGAUCCUGCAUGCCUGCUCAGUCUCCCUUGCUCUUAGGCAGCCUCCAGACGUGAAACCUUGUCACGCUCUGCUACCAUAUCCAGUGCAACGCCCCACUGUGCACAGUGUUGUUCAGUCACAAAGAUGGUCUCUGUCUGCCCAAAGUUCUCACAGAGACCUUUGCACAAUGUCACUGCAGUCAAAACUUGUUUAUUAAAUGCUCACUUAGCAGAAAUGAGGUCAAAUCAUUUAAUGGCUAUUAAGAUGUUAAUGCAUUAAACACUAAAAUAUCACCUGUUUAUCUUAACCCUCAUUUACCUAAAUCACCUUAGCAUUCAUUGUGAUGACUGAGAUUUGACAGUGUUUGCUAAUUAUGUAAGAGUUGAGCUAGCACCAGUUGGUCUUACUGCUGCACCCAAGCACCUUGGUAACAAACAUUAUCAUCCACAGCAAACUGGAGCUAUUCCUAAAUAAUGAUGAUGAGAAAUUCCCAAAUACAGUAGAAAAAAGUCAAUGCCCGAAGAACAGCAAGAGGAGGGCUCUGCCUGGAAGGAAUCAUGACUGAAGCUGUGAAGUGUCAUCCAAAAUCACUGAUCCCUAUUGCUAAGCCAACCUAUGUUGAUAGCACCAUUCUGUGGCUGACCCAUCUGGCACAAAAGAGUCGCACAAAACCCUCCCAUUCAAUGUGGAGGCUUAAUGUCCAAGGUACACUUCAAAACACCUUCAUUCCCGUGCCACCGCCCCGUGGUCCCCACACCCUUGGAGUCUGAGGGAACAUCUCCAUGGCCCAAGCCCUGGUGCAGCAAGCUGGGGUGCCUCCAGGCAUCAGCAUCCCUCUCAGAGUUGGCACCGUUCAUGUCAUGGUGGUGCGUGCUCAGCAGCUGUAGCACUGAGUUCUGCUGCAGGGCUGAGCCCAGCUCUUUCUGCCCAUGGAGAUGAAUGCACGGUUGGCUCCCGAGCUGCAACUAAUAGAUUAAAGCUCCCAAUAAAUCAAGAGUUUUGCAAAAGCGUGAAUGACUGAUUUCACAAGGUGAUUAGAAUUAUCAAGGGAAAACAUUUGAAGUGCUCAAUAAUUUACACUAACCACCUGUACUUUUAAAAUAACUUUCCCCAUUCCCCUCCCUUAACUUUAAGGGAUUCUUGCCAUGUUCUUCAAGCCAUUUCCUUCCUUCCCUUCAGCUCUGAUUGCUGCGGAACACUCUUAAUAAAGAACGUACCGUAUCACUGGAGAUUGUUCUGGGGAUGAAAAAUGCAAUGUGAUUUAUUAUAACAUGGCCUAUGCAGGCAGCUGAUCUUAGCCUGCACUCUGCAUCCUUCCAAAAUCAAAACAAUUUGCAAUGUAAUAUUGUGAAAUUGGGUUUGUAUUCCAGUUUGCAUUUUAUGAUUCUUAUCCUUAAGAAAGCAUUUCCAAAUGCAUUUUCAGUUAGUUAGGUUUUUCCAUGCCUGCUUUUCGCUUUCAACAGUGCUAGCAAAGUCAUGCAUGGUUUGAAAGGUUUUACGCGUAAAUUUGGAACUCGUAUCACACCCUACUGAGCAGUGGGGACUGUUCAUUUAUUUGUUUAUUAAGUAGGAGUUAUUUUCUCUCCAGCAUGCUAUAAAGCCAGCUCUUUGACCUCAUUCCUCAACACGGACAAGAACUGAAUUCCUGGAAUAAAGAAAAAAAAUGGAGAAAAUGCACUCCCAUUUUGACAAAAAUAACUGAAGAGAUCCUUCCAACUCAAAAAAGCCUUCAGGAAAAAAUGUGGGACAUAUCCUUCACAGGUUGUCAACCUUCCAUUGGAAGCAGAAGAUCCAUGACAAUUCAUGCCACAGAGGUUUGCUGCCAGGUGGCGGAGGACAAAGUUCACUCUGGAGUGGUUUGCUAGCAGGGCAGUUGCGCAGUGCGUGGAAGUGCCCAGAUGGGAGGCAGGGAGAAGAUGGAAGGCAGAGAACUGAGGUGUGCAGAGGUGACUGGGAGGACACAUCACAGCCCCAUCUCUGAGAAGGGCCAGGAUGAUAGCUUAGGAAAAUGCAGACACGAAGGGCAGUUGGGCAGUGGUACAGUCCCAGCUAAAUCCCUAGUUGUAAAGAGCCCCGAAGGACUUUUUAUGCAGGAAUUUGCCUAACCACAUUUUAAGUCUGGUUAUACAUUGACAAGAAAAAAUGACCCACGGUGAGGCGUUCACACAGCCUGCUCUUUCACUUUGAUAGCCCCAGGCUUCUGCACCAUGAGAAGCAGUGGGUUAACAUGCCACCUGCACCCUGACUGUGCCACCUGGGACAGAUCUCAGGGCUGCCUGAGUUUAUUUUCCAAUAUUUCAACUAAAGAAAAUACCCACUAGCUGAUCUAUGAUAGAGAAAGUAAAAUAAGUAUCUGUACGUGUGCUCAACACAAAUAACUUACUUGAGAAACCCCUCAUACACCUCUGCUUUAUUGUUUUAUUUUCCAGUGGUGGUUUAUGGUGUUGUGAUGAAGCCAGAGGUUUGACACAAAGAGGUAGUCUUUACCCAGAUACUAAUAUUCAGUAGGUCAUCUUGUGAAAACAUACUGGAAUAGAAAUGAAGAGGGAAGGGGCUAGGAAGGGAAAAAGGAAGGAAAAGCUGGACAGUUCAGGGAGCAAAGAAAAUAGCCACAGUGCCACUAGACAGAGAAAUAGAAUGCAAAUAGUGGGGUGAAGACCCACUUUGUAGAGGGACUCCCAUUCAUGAUUAUAUGGUAGAUAAAAGUUCAGUGAAACAGAAGCACACCAGCUGCAUUCACCUGGAGACUGUUGGCACCAUGUUGUUGACUGCAGCUUCUCUUGCAGAUGCAAACAUGAUCUCUGCUGUUGUGACACAAGCUGGGGUGAGCUGUCCUUCCAGCUCCUUCUGCAAAAGUGCCAAGAGCAUGACAAGUGGGGUCCAACAUACUGGUUUUGGCCAGCUCUCCCCAAAGCCAACAGGAGCCUUGAGUCAGGCCACAGGAGCUUCCAAUGACUCAAAGAGCAAUCAUUGGAUGAUAUAUCAAACUCCAACUGCUAGAUAAAGAAGAGAAAUCGGAGUGCCUGCAAGGAUACCAGCUAUUGUUGUAUCAUCAUAGCUCUUCUGUAACAUUUUCUUCUCAUGAGGUGAUAUGAAGUGCAUGGAGAGGAGUAAGUUAUAAAGUUGUACUAAUGUGAUUGUUUGGGAUGUUAAAACAAAGUCAACAAUUCCUUUACAAACCAUCCCAGCUUCUGGGCAGAUAUCCCUGGAAGCUUCAGGAGUCCUCUUUGAUCCUGGCUGCCCCAUAAAGAAACAUCGUUUAUACUGAAUUAAUUAGCUGCCACUUAACCCUGGCGCCAAGAGUUGAUGUCAUGAGGCAAAACAAAAUGGAGCUAAUGAAAUCAAUAACAUCAUUAAAAUAACUCACAGCAGAGUUACUGACUGCCGUGCCGACUGUGCUUAUGGACCAAUUGCUCAGCACGUAAAGGGACUUCUGCAAGAACAUGUUCAAGCUAUGAAUGGCAGCCAGCAGCCAACUUGACAUCACUCUGCUCAGGUGAGCUUUUCCAGGACUGCACAGGGAGGUUGCAUGGGCACAGCCUUGGCCUGGAAGUGUCAGAUUGGUUUGGACAGAUGGCAGUAAGGAGUAGAGGGCAAGGUGCUCCCAAAGCAAAUUUCUGAGUGGGAGUUUUAAGCAGGAAGGUACAUUUAGGUAGAGCUUUUCUACUAUUAAUGAAGCUAGAGUAAGACAUUACUAGGAACAAUGCACACCAUGCACAGGAACAAGCUGACCUGGAAAGAUUAAUCUGUCCCUGAAGGCCUGAAGCAUCUUGGUUGGCUGCUGAGAAGCUGAAGCCCUGAUCAACAGUGCUUAAAGAGCAUGGACCACAGUGAGCUCUGGCUCAGUGAGAACUUCUUGAUGCUGUGCUUGCAGGCCUGAGCCCCCAUCAUUGGAAACACACUGUAAUGUCAAUGCUUAAUUGAAUGAAAGAUCUAACUGCAUGCUUCUUACACAGAAUUUCCAAAUGUUUGCAAAGUCUAAGCCCCCUCACUGUGCAAAGAUAUAAUAGAUACCGUCAAAAAGUCUUAAGACAGACAAACAGCAAUGGUAAGUCUUUCACUGUUCAAGUUUUACACAAUGUUUUCACCACUGUUAUCCGGCUCUCCUGUAUUUAAUGACAAGUUCAUAGGCGGGGGCAGGUAAUUGUGAACAUUAAUAUUAAUUUUUCCUGACACAACUAAGUGCUAAAUAUGCAGAAGCAUAUCUAUUUAGCUCUGUGCUGGUGCUCUUUCUGUGCUCUUCCCUGAACUGACUGCUGCUAUCAUCUCUUUAAGUUAGCUCCUUCCUGACUAGAUGCUCUGCAGUAUUUGAUUCUGACUUAUACAGGAAACUUGGGUCUGCAGGCAAAGGUGAAAGGCAGCUGGGGUGAGAGUGACCUUCAAGUGGCAAAUCUGAGGCAGAAAGGACAUUUGAAGAGUUAACAGUGCUGUAAGGAAGUUGUGUGGAAGGCACAAUCACAGAAGAAAUAGUAAAGAACUGCUUGUGAACUGCUUGGUAGCAGGGCAACUUAGCACAAGCCCUACAGGAGGCCCACAAGGUACAAAGUGAUUAAAUCAUGAGCUCUUCAUUAGUUUCAGAUGUGCAGUGGAAGCAGACAGAAAGUCAAACUAGGUCAUGUUACUAAGAGGAGGAAUGAAAUGAAAAAGAUAUAGGUGAUGCAACGAGCAGUGGGCGUGAAGUUUAUGCACUUGAAGUAAAAGGAGGGCCAGAGAAAGACCUGAGUUUCACAAGGAGGAGUUACUCAGUGACGAUACCAAAGACCUAAAUGGUUGUUACUUUCUUCCUUUGGUCUACUCAAAGGUGCCCAAGGAGUCAGAGAGCAAGCAGCUUAAUUUCAAUUCCUGGAAAAUGCUGGAAGUGGAAAUUGGUUAAGCUCUUUUCCAGCACCUAGAUGACAGCAAGCAGAUGAGGAACAGCGAGCACUGAUUUGACAAAAACAAAUCACAUCCAAUCAAUCUAAUUUCCUUCUGUAGUAGGCCUUAGAUCUUGAUUUUAGUAAAGCUUUUGCCAUUGUCUCACCUGACACUUUCAUAAACUAAGUAAAGAAACAUGGUUUAGAAGAAACUGCUAUUAGAGGAGUGUACAGCUGGUUGGAAAACCAGACUAAAAGCAGUUAUAAAUGCUUCACUGUCAAACUGGCGGUACGUAUCAAAUGAAGUCUGAAGCCAUCUGUUUUGUGUCUGGCAGUGUACGGUAUUUUCAUUAAUAUCUUUGAAGAAAUGAGAGUAGGGAACACUUAUUAAAUUAGCACAGGACACCAUGGAGAACAAGCGCUUUGGAGAAACAGGAUGAGAAUGCAAAACAAUCUUGACAAAUUGGAGGAAUGCUGGGGAAAACAAACGCCAUUGAGCAGGGACAAAGCAGAGCUCUGCAGUUGCGUAGGCGUCAUCAAGUACUAAAAGACGGCUGGGAAACAACCGGCACAGCAGCAGUUCUGCAGAAGAUCUAGGGAUGACAGCUCAACAUGAAUGAGCACGGUCAUGCUGCAGUAAAAAAUGAAAGUGCUGUAAUGAGGUGUACAAACAGAAGUUCAAUCUGCAAGAAACAGGAAAUAAUUCUUUCCCGCUUGUCUAUGCUGUGAAGACUUCAUUUGAACUGUGCAGGUUCGGCCACUGCAGUUCAGGACAGUUUCAGGACUGGAUAAGCUUGAGGAUUCAACUCAGCCUGCAGCCGAACACCUCAAACAUGGGAGGCCAUUCCACACUGAGGACAACUGAACCAAACAGAGUAAUCGUAUCUUUAGUUAAUGAAACAGCUUCGGUUAGAAAAAGAGGGUGAUAGGAAGGCAUAAAACCAGCAUGAAUUGAUUCAGCUUAAUAAAAUGAGCUGGUUUUAUUAUUUGCUUGCAGCCUACUUCGUAUUAUUCCCCUGGCAGAAGUGACAUCUCAUCACAAGCUUUUGGGAAUCUGUUGUUAAGGGUUUCCUCUUGCAGCUUACAGAGCAAUACCAUAGCUAUGCAAAAUUUCUACAAACUCACACUUUCUCCUCUCUUACCUUGAUGGUAACCUCCUCUCUAAUCUCCUGGUCUGUCAAAUGCUUCCUGUUGGCUGCUGUAGACAUCCUUGCUUGUGCCUCGAUGCAUCUUUUAGCUGUGACAGCCACAACACAACUCCCUGCCUUCCCUCAGGUGCCUAGAAAUGCAGCUCUGUCAUCUUCCUGUUCACGUUUAGCCUGCCCCCUGAAGUCCUCCAGGCUUUUAUUAUCAUGCAGGUUUGUGUUCCUCUCUACUCAUUAACCUCUUUUCCUCUAGCCUUGUCUCUUCUCUUUGCCACAUUAGACUUCUGCACUUCAUCACAUCAAGUCUGCAGCAGAUGUUUCCCUGGCUGCCCACAGACCUCGCACUCAGUGCAAGAAAGGGAAACUCCAUCUCAGUUGAAGUGAAACACAAAGAGGGAACUCUGGUAGUCCUCAGCAAUCCCAUCUGAAUCCUAUCUCAAGUCCAGAGGUAUUUCCUUUCUCUUUUCAUGAGAUUCAUUCACUUCUCCUUUCUCAUGACCCAGUCUCCUACUUGUACAGCAGAACUGAUGGCUCAGAUGGUGCCUUCUGACCUUAAAUGCCUGAAGGUUAACUAAGAAUGGGGGCUCGUGGCACAAGUAAGAGCACAGCAUGUUUUUAAAGAAACGCCUUGGAUAUGUUCAUACACUGCCAUAAAACGUAGCAGCUUGGCUUUGUUCAUUUGUUUUACCACUUGUUGUCUUCUUGCUAACUCUGUACUUCUCUGAAGUGAAGUUCAUCAGUGCACUGACACAGCGACGUAGUUAUGUAUGCCAGGCACAUAAAACACUGCCUAGCCGUAUUUUUGUUAGAAGAGAUGUCACACGUGUACCACAUGUUAGUGUGGCUGACUGUGUCUCCCUGGAGCUGGGUUUCCUCACAUCAGCAGGGAACUGGGCUGGUAGUGGGCCUGGACCAGUAGAUAUGCAGGGACAUGGACGAGGAGCAUUUUGUAAGGUUGAUCUCCCAGGGGGGAUUAUAAUCCAAUUCAUUAUACAGCAACUGGGAGUCCCCUGUGCAUCUCUAUGUCUGUAGAGGUGGAUGUAGAUGCAAGUUGCAGCUUGGAGCAGAAGCACGUGAAGGUGAGGGUAGAUCUCAUCAGUGUGUGGGGAUGAUACUUGUCUCUAACUGCACACAAAGGACAUUUCAUCUUUCCUCCCAGCUCAUCCACUUCCCCUCCCAUAAAGGACAUAAAAAGAAACCAAACAAGAAGAGCAGCCAGUAGAAACUAUCACAUGUUUGGGGAAAGCUCGCAGGACAAAUAUUUCAAACCAGAACUGCCUGAGAUGACCUUACAAGCAAAAUAGACAACACCUACGUAUUGCGAUGGAAAUGACAAAGCAGGGAAAUUGUUGCAAACGCAGCACAAAUGGACACUAGCUGCAGAUUACACAGAUUAGCAGAGCAUUACAAAUUGUACAAAGGAAACGCUCAAUUUUUCUUUUCAGUAUUAAUAAAAGACACCUGAAAUCAGCAGUACCAAUGAUUCCCUUUGUGAAUCUCAGGCAAUAUGUUGGACAGCCACAUGUUUCUCGCUGGCAUCAAGCAGCCUUGCUUUUACUGCAAGAGAAGUAAGAAAUUCCACCAACGUCAGGGGCACCACGCAGCCGUCUCUCUGUACUCAUUCCUGAAAUGAUCUGAAAUCUAACAGAAGGCAUUUUAUUGACAGCUAUCGUGCCUAUUAGCUUUCAUAUGUUUUCAGGACUUCUCAGAAGGAGCUGGUUCAGGACCUCUUCCAGAGGGACCUGUUCAUCAGCCCACCCCAAGUGACCAUUGGAGGCUGUGCAGUGAUGCUCACUUCCAGGGCUGUAGUCCCCUGGGCAUGAGGCUACCUAUGGCCUAGAGCUUGGGCAGGAAAGCCAGGACAGGCAACCAGGAGGCAGCUCAUAGGCUGGCAGCCUCCACAGCUGCUUGUGCUGCUUGGGGCCUCGUGACUGUCUGUGUGCCAUCCUCAAGCGAGAGUCUGGAGAGUGGGGCGAUGCACCCUGUGGUAAUUUCUGCAGUGUUGCAGGCCAGGAAGCACCAGCAGAAGAGAUGUUAUGACAGUGCAAACAGUUACCUCCGCUGCAGGCAUGAUAGGAAGUGACAAUGCAAACAGAAAUGUAACCUGUCAAGGCCACAGCUACAUGCUUGGGUAGACGAGCUUGUCGUUUAACCAAGAGCAGUGCCACAGCUCCCUGCUUCCCAGUGCUUGAAGGCAUCUGCACACAAGAAAGCCACCCCAAAGCUCCGACCUUUCCAUAUGAGUAAGGCUAAAGGACAAUGCUUCUGCUUCCUGGCAUCAGUCUGUGUGUGUGCGUGUCAGCACUAAUUACAGCCAGCAGGAUGGUGAUUUUCAGAUGUAAAAGCUUUCAAUGCCAGCACGGGCCUUGCAGUGCUGCAGUGGAAAAUAUUAAGAGAGGAUUACCAGAAGGCCCAGAAGAAAUAAUAUCACAGCGAAAGGAAAUUAUACUGAGGAGCACAAUGUUUGACUUACAACUGUUGUGGUCUGAAACAUAAAUCCACACGGUACCGAGUGUCUGGAAAACUGAACACCAACUGUAAUGAAAGUAAUCAUUUUGCUAAAGUAUUCUUUACAAAGGGCAACACUUAAAGACAUGUGUUGAUUAAGGUAAAAAUCUAUGGAUGCUGGCCCAGCUCUGGAAGGGCUUCUAAGAUGAGUGCUAGCUCUGUGCACACGAAUGUGGUGUUUGAGGUGGCAAGCCCUGCCAGGGUGAAAUCCCAUGUACCUCUGCCUUUGGAGAGAAGAGGAAAAUGUGCCUUGCUUCUGCUGUGAGACUGACGGAUAAGGAAGUGCUAAGCUUCAUCCUCCCUUCUGCAUGCUGCUGGGGCAUGCAGAUGACAGCAGAACCAGCCAGAAGGUGCAAAUAUCUGAAGCAGAAGGCGGUGGAUUAGAGAUGGUUUUGGAGGCCACUGGGGAGACAAGAAGUGGAAAAUGAAGAAAACAGAAACCAAGUCUGAAGAAAUAACAAAUUCCAGAAAAUGAGAGAAAAAAUCAGGGGAUGAAAAGAAGAUGGAGGAAGGAAGGAAAGAGAUAUCUAGAAAAAGAAGCAUGGAAAGGGUCAAGUCGGAAGCAGCUGAAAGCAGAAACUUCAAAGAAAAAGGCAAUUUAUAUUCAGACUCUUUGGAAACCCUUGUUAUCUAUGACCAACAGGGUCCUGGUACUUACUAGGUAUAGACAUAAAAGGGUUGUAGAAGAGUAAGACAAUGGUUUAAACAUGUACAAGCCAGAGGAAAGGAAAACUCAGCUCCUGAAAGGAAGGGAAAAGAAAGCAAGGGAGGGUCAUUUUAAAAUUGGCUGAAUUAUCUUUUAAUGUUUGGUAAAGCUACACUCUACAGAUGCUAGAAAUUUAAGAGGCACAAAAACUGGGAUUAGUAUAAAAUCCUGUGGACAUGGAGAGCAUUUUGAAGGCAGGAGAUAUAGCUUGUGAGACAGGCACCCCAUGUCCCAGGUGGUGACUGCAACCACCUCUUCUGAAGCCAGGCCUGCUCAAGUAUGGCCAGCAGAGCACCCACGAGGAGCAUGCAUCUGGCAGGCGGCCAUAAAAAACAGAGGACAUCCUACCAGGGCUGACCAGUACUCAUACAGAAUCAAAGCUGGGAUCUAGCCCCUGCCAAUGCCAAGUCUGAACAGGCCAGCUGUGGCCUGGCAAUAGCAGGGCUGCUCCAACCAUGGCAGUCUGUGAACAGAAGUCUGCCACAGACAUGAGAACCAAGCACCUUGUCCCAUCAUUACAAGGGCAGCAUCCCCAGGUGGCCAGGGAUGGUGGAGGAGGACCUUUGAGCUGGGGUGACACUGAGCUCUUUUGUACUGCAUUCACCCCAUCAGCACUGUGAGAGCAGCUGGUGUGGUUGGGUCCACUUGAAGGCAACCUCCAAAUCAAAUGGAGGCAUAAAGACAACACUGAUGACCAUGAAGUCAAACACCAGACCAAAAUACUCGAGUGGUUCAAAUGCACUGAAGCCAUACAAUGGCUGAGCGAUUGAAAUAGAAAAGGAGUAUGUAUGAGUGUGACCAAAGAAGGUAAAAAAAUUAUUUUGAGUGCUGUUUGUUGCAGACAGAGGAAACUCUCUCUGUUAGGCAACUGAGCUAGUUAACAACACAUACAACAUUACAUGUACACUAGGAAGGAGUGUGGUCUGGGCAUUGCCACUGUUUAAGAAAGAGCCCUCUCAUGUAUUUCCCAGGAGCCUGAACGGUUACUUCAUGUGUGAGAACGUCAGGCUGUGACCUGCAGGAAAAGAGAGGGCAUGAGGGAGCCAGAUGGCUGAGUGACCCCAGUGCUGUUCCCAGAAGAAGCAGGAGCAGGCAAGGAAAAAUCUGGUGGCUGGAAGGAAAAGUGAGCCCUAGGCAGGUCCCUCCAUGCUCUGGGUCUCUACUGUUCCCUCUCCCACCAGCCCCCUUUUCUCCUCUGAGCCAGCUUCUCAUCAUACCAGACUGCCCAACUCCCACUCCCCCACCAUCUCAUCCACCACAGCUGCAAUUUUCCAACUCCGGUAAGAAACAGAAGUAUCAGCAUAGCAUAUGCAUGUGCUUGCUGAGGGACGGGAGCAGAAACCUUCCCACCUCUUAGUAGUGUCUCCAGCUGCUGCCUUGCUCUGCCUUCCCAAUCUGCCACAUUCUUUAUGUCCCACGUGGCUGCUUUGGCACAGCUCAAGUGAGUGUGGGGAGCAGCAGUGGCCUGUGGUGGCCAUGGUGACUCAUACUGGCUCUCCAGCCAAGACAGACAGGGGAUACCCCAUAAGCAGAUGCUGGUGACCCCAGCAUGUGAGUGCUACUCUGGCCACCACCACUGCCAUGAAGCCUCUAUGUCUGUCUUACACACAGGUACUGUACAUGACUGAUGUAAUGCACAGGGUCUCAUGCAGUGAUGAGUUUUCCCACACAGGCACUCCCCUCCAUCUCUCUACUGAGCAGGAGGCCAGUUUCUAAUGUCUGCCCUUCACUUCAAAUCCUUGGUUUAUGAAACUGGAGGAAAACCCUGAGACAGCAGGUUGAGACUGACACCAGGGAGAGAGUUAACUCAUUUCCACGGCUGGUAAUUCUCCCCACCAGCCCACGCAGCAUCAGAGCAGCUCCGUAAGCCUCAGCAUAGACUCUUGGCCUGUUCUACAGGUGGUGGAAACUUGUAGUAUAUGGUGUAAAAUGCCUACAGGAAGGUGUUUGUGACAGGGCCAAUGGCUAGUGCAUAUACCUGCCCCAAGGCAGGUUCUGUUGUUGUUCCACCACUGCAGAAAUGAUGUAACACUGGUUUUAUUACAGUGCUGGAAUCCGGCAGUGUUUUGCACCUGGAAGGCUGCAUCUGACACCCACCUGUGAGGCAUCAGUCCAUGAAGACUGGGGCUCUGCUUUGGUUUUGCGGUCACUGCUGCUAAUGCGAGAAAACGGACAGGGCAAAAAACAGGAGAUAAAAGGCAGUCAAAGCACUGCUGAAAAAAUACCAGAUAGUUGUAACUCUUAGGACUAACCUUCGGUGUCAGAGGAGUCAAUGCCUCUAUUUUGAAAGGAUGAGCCAUUUUGCGGGUAUAACAGCAAUGCACUUCAUAAUCCCUUCCAUAUUUGGCUUUAUUGGCUUAUUGUGCAGAGCUAUUAGAAUCAGGAUCAUCUCUUAUGAAGCUGUUAAUGGGAUGCAAAUUGCAUGAAAGAUUUCUCCGCAUCAAUAGAAAACAACCUAGUAAUAAGUUAUUGCAUAAAAAUCUGCAUAAAAAUCUGCUACAAAAGAAAUACUUCUAAAGAAGCAAAAAAUCCUGCGUGACUGAGGAGGAAAUAUGCUUUACAAAGUGCAAAUGAGUACUGGUUUUAGAGGUAAAGGUGACCUACCUCAGAGCUGCUCAUAUCCCAAAGAACAGCUGUGCCCUAGCUACCCAUGUAUAGUGAAACAGUGCUUCACACAACAUCAUGGCUACGGCCAGGUAAAAAACAGUGUGAUGAAUGUUUUAAGCACUGAUAGAUGCAAGUUCAGGCUGACCAAACCUGCAUCUGUGCUGAAUUCAGCAAGGAGCUGUGGCCAAAAUAUGUACAUUUGAAUAAAAUGAAAAGUCUAAUCAGCUCUCUGUAUGUGAUGCACUCCUACUUUUCAUGCUGACACGAUGUUUUGAGACUAGAAUUGGACUUACAGUGAGCUAGAAACACCUAAAACCAGCAUUAAGUGCUGAUCAGUAAGUCAAGAGAAAUAUUGUGCUGAGUCUGUCACAUCGCUUUGCUGUUUGUUUUUCCUUUUUGGUGUUGACAUCAAUGUGACUGUGAUUUCAGCUGUGGUUUCCAGAGAGCACUGCAGCGUGCCUGCGGCUGGAAGGAGCCUUUUGCUGCCAUUCAGCCCAUGCCACCUAGCACAACCACGGGGCACUACUGCUUCUCCCACGUGGCGUACACCCCGCUCCCCCGAGCAUCAGAGCCUCCAGCACAUCACACACCAUCACUCUCCCACAUUAUGCCACAGAAAUGCUCUUUGGUCUCCUGUUUAACGUCCAGCACCAAAGCAGUGGGAAAUACCAGACCACGCAGUACCCGGUGACCUGUCCCAGUAGAACUGAGCUGCCCUGGGUACACCUGCUCUGCAAAACCUAGAGGACAGAAGAGAAAAGCCACAUUUCUGGGAUUCCUUCUUCCACCCAAAUUCCCUACGUGCAACAGGAGCCAGGGGACUGCAGCCUGGGAUGCUGCUCUGUCUCAAGCCCAAGGGGCCAGGCUUUUCCUGAAAUAACAUCCACCUCUUGCUUUGCCGCCUGCUGGGCUCAGCUGAUGCACAUGGAGGAGCCUAAAUAAAGAAACACAGAGCUCAGAGCCCAGGCUUUUCCUCUCCGCUAUCUGCAUUCUUUUGCAUUCAUUAAAAAACAAACAAACCUGUUUCCUGAUAGCAGGGAGGAAAAUCACAGGGCCGCGUUUUGUUUUUCUUUCACUUGCAAUGGCUCAGAUAUUCGAGGGAGAAGCACCUCUAUGGGAUCUACGCAUGGAGAUGAGAGUGGCUGGUAACAGACAUCAGAACAAGCAACAAAUGUCUCCAUCCCUCAGGGAUGGGAGGAGGGAGAGGGAUGGGAAAAAGCAAAAAAGCGUGGGCAUUGCUCUAUCAACCAGAUGCCAGAGGGGGAACUGGCCUAUUCCCAGUCUUGCUCAGAGAUCUGCCAGGGGUGGCAUCGAUCGGAAGGGUGGAGGAACGCGGCCUCGUAUUUUUGCAGCGAGGAUUGGCUCUCUGAAGGAGAGCUAAAAGAAACAGCAGCUUCCCAACGAGCACAGAAAUUGAGAGAAAACGUUAGAAAACGUCUCCAGAUUACAGGGGUAUAAAGAUAGCCCUGGAAGCGGCCGCGCUCCUUGGCGCAGAGUCGCCAGUGCCGGGAAGUGCCUCACAUCCUGUUCUUUGUAUUGUUCUCCCAACUUGUCUGGUGGCUGGGAAAGUUUCUUCCAGCAAUUUACCCCGUCCUCACCCUGCAGCUGGCCGGCCUGCUGCUAUUGAUUCACUUCCCCAGGCAUUUCUCUUACUGUCAUGCUCUUGUGGCACCAAAGCACUCAGUGCCCAGCGCUGCUCCAUUAUAUAUAAGGCUGCUUUCUCUGCCUCUCAGCACAAAAUCAAACUCACAGCACAAAGAGCCGUGGGUUUAGAUAUAUAAUUGGAUCAAAUUGUGUGUAAUGACCUUGUCUGGUCUAUUGUGCCUUUGUUUUCCAUUGCAGCUUGCACCAGAGCAGGUACCAUGUUUACAUUGCAGUCAGGGUGACCUGACUCCCAGCCAUCCUGGAUUCAUUCUUUGGCUAAUGGAAAGAGUUUCUUUGCUCUGGAAAGAGUGGGUCCUUUGGACAGGGCUGAUGUUCAGCCUCAGCUUGGCCAUGCCAGCAUUGAACAACUCUUCUGGCUGCAUGCUCUGUGCUCAGCCCCACAAAACAAGGCUGCAGAGAGCUGUGGAUGAUUGCUCAUGUAUUGAGAUGAGUACGGGUGAUGGGUUGGUGGGCCGGCAGGUUCACAGAGUGGUAUGCAAGCACAGAGCUUGAACCCCAAGGUUACAAUUAAAUCUCACCUGAGGCUGGCUGCAUAAGUAAAGCAAGUCAUGUUUAACUGCAGGAAAGAACAUCAUGUAACAGAAAUCUAAUUGUGUUGAACAGUACCCAAUAUAAAGGUUAUGGCUUAUGGAUUAACAGCAGGAACUUACGCUAUGAACUGGGAACUCGUCUGGAACCAGCAGAAGAGGAAAAGAGCACACUGGUGAUUAAUGAUUUGGGGUGCCCAUGGGAUGCAGUUACGGCAAUACAAGCAUGCUCCCAGGAUGCACUGGAAAGUACGUCCAGCAGAAGUGAAAUACCAAAGCCAUAGCAUGGAUCACUGGCACGUAGUGGAACUGGCCCGUGUGAUGUGACAGACAUCUCCAGGAAGCAGCCUCAGGGAUGUUCACAUGCACAGGAACAUGCUGGGACACUGAGGGCCGUGGGUGGCCUCCCAGCGGGCCAGCAACACAUCACCCUUUUGUCAUCAUGUAACGAAGAGAGCUACCUGAGCUGAAUCACAGUUUUCUGUGUGUCACAAGAGAAGCUGGACUUGCUCACAGCUGCGAUGCAAACGGGUUCUCUUGAGCAGAGAAGUUCUGAUGCAGCCCAACAGUCAGAGCGCAGGUACAAAAUCCAUAGCAAGCUUCAUGACAGUCAGGUCAGGCCAGGACAAGAGCACUGUGAGGCAGUGUGUGGUGGGAGAAGCCAUCCUCCUCCUGUGAGACUAGGGAAAAAAAACAGAACCUGAAUGGAAAAUGUGCAUAGCCAUUUGAGCCAGUGAAGAAAAUUUCCCUGCUAAUGUGCCACGGGAACUCUUCAAGCACUAGAAGUAGCCAGCCUUUGAUCUCAUGCCUUUAAUGCACUCCCUAAAAGACACAAUGGCUCCAAAUCCUAUCUUGCAUUAUUGCUUGCUUGGCUUAAAGGCAUGCCGCACUGCCAAGGGCAUCUCCUGAUGGCUACAAGCGAAAAGGAAGAGUGAAAGAAAACAAAUGAUUCCAUGGCAAAGUCCAUCAGGCUCUGUGGUGGGCAGGCAGGGUGCAGGUAGAGCGCAGAGGUGACCUUGUGUGGCACAUUUAAAAACACCAGAUGCCACCACACAUCCCACUGUGCCGGCUUCACGCUCCCUUCUUUGUCACAACCCGACACAUCCCCUACAGCACGAUAGAAACUGUAAGUAAUUUAAAAGCACAACUAAUUACCUCAGAGAGCUGUUUAAGUACCCAAACCUACAGCAGCCGCAGGACACUUCCCAACGCUACAGGCAUCCAGAAGUGUAAUUCAGAGCAAACCGUCUCACUGGAGGAGGCCCGUGAGUGCACGGCGCCAAGGGAACCCGCACAUUUAGGAUUUGCAAGGAGCCUGCAUCUACAAAGAGCAGAAAGCCAGUUGCUUCCUCAGCCUCCUGAUAACCCAAGGAAGAAGCCACAUCUGCGCAGCUUUUUUUAAGUGUCUCGAGUGCUCCAUUUUGCAGGAGCUGGGAGGCAGCAGGGAGAGGCGGGAGCCGGGGGCCGUGAGAGAGGCAUGGCGGCCAGCACAGCCUGCAGUGCCUCCUGCCAGCAGCCCCUGCACGGGGAGGUCAGCGCCAGCAGUCCCCACAAUCAGAGUCUUGUGUCAGACGUGUGAGAAAACUCUCCCUUUCCUGUCGCACGCUGCCGCCACCACAGCUGCGGGCCCCCUCGGACCUGAAUAAACAGAGCCGCGCUGCUGCCAAGGAGCAUCCAGAUGUGCGCGGGGUGACUCAGGAUUUACUGGCACUUCAUAUGUGAGAUCAGAUUGGGGCCAGGACAGUGCUGUUUGGUAAAUUAGCUUUUUACAACCUAAUUUCCUUACUUUAGCUCUUUUUUUCCCCCAGCAUCUUGAAAGGAAAGAAAAAAAGUGAUCCAAGAUGCCAGCGUCUCAGACCAUUUUAAAGGGCCUCUGUGAGGUGUCUGCUCUCUCAGUCGCCUUCCUCACUGCAAAACUUCCCCAGCACUGUGAUUUAAUACACACACCACAACAAGCUGGCAGUUAUACCGGUAUUCAUGCAAGGUGACUGCGAAGAUGCUGCCCUGCAAGCAGAAUAAGGUCCUCUUUAGCAAAGAGGUCUGUGUGCAAGCUCGGAGACGAGCAGUAACGAUGCGGCUUUUCCAGGGGACUGCGGAAAUCACAGCACAGCUGGGCUGUGAGCUGUGCUCCUCUGCCAGUGAGAGCCCUCCAGGACCCACAGCGGGACUGGCAGUAUUCACAUGUACCGAGAGGCCCUGGCUAAGCUAUGGAAGGCAGCUUCAGGAGAGCACCGGAGUGUGGCUUUUUGACCGAAGGCACAUUGCAUCUGUCUGGUUUACUGGUCUUCUGAUGAAGACCUAGCUUGGAGGGUUGUGGGAUUCUCCCAUGAAGUGAGAUUUUUAUAGCACAGCCAUAUUUUGCAACAAGCCUCCAGCCUGCCUAGGAUGCCCCUGUCAAGUUCCAUUUUUCAGGCUCUUUGUGCAGAAAUGAUACUUAAUGGAGGAGCCUCGCUGGUGUGUGCUCAGGCAAGGGGGGAAGAAGACGCAACAUGCAAUCCAUAAAUAGAGACACUUUAGAGGCUCUUUAAACAUUCACGCUUUUUGCAUAAUUGAUGACUUUCCAUAAUAGAUAUGGAUGAUAAACAGCCUUAAAUAAAAUGAAAAUUUAUCAGUGUCAUAUCAUUUAUCAGCAUUAUGUUAAAUUGGAAAGUAUGGGGAAAAUAUUACCAUGUACUCAAAUGAAAUCAGUGAAAGGGAGAAUAAUUUGGGGGCUGCAUCAUUGCAUUCAUCAAGGCUUUUAAUGAGACAGCCAACAGCUAAGAAGCUGCACUAAGACACGAGACAGAGGCAGAGUUUGGAGCAUCCGAAUACCAACACUUGGGUUCAAAGAGGGGAAGGGAACGGAUGAAAUGUAAGGUCCAAGCAGACCCUCAGACCUUAAUAUCUGUCAGCACAUUCACCCUGUGGGCUGUACUGUGAAGGGUGAAGAGGGCAGGCUCACCCAUAUCCAUGGUAUGUCACUGCAUAUCCACAGUGGGUCAUCAGGAACGAUCUCUGUGGCUUUGAAGGGUCAAAAGCAAGUCCAUUCUCCAAGUUGGACCACACCAUUCAC